ensembl:lncRNA
AGAGUGAACUCCUCUACUGGGGGCGGGAAUGAGUCAGUCCCGGGCUCUCGUGCUGGGGCUUGGGGGUGGGGUCUGCGCGCGGGAUUCGGGGGCGCGGGGACCACAGCUGUCUGACUGAGAAAUUCUCGAGUUUCCGAGUGGGAGGGUCGCGCGAGGCCGUGAGGGGUCUCUGGGGAGCGGAGCCACGCGCUGCCUUCUCCCAGGUGCAGAGGCCGGUUAGGAUUUGAAUUCCGUACCCUGCGCUCUCAACGGCAGUCGGGCUGAGGGGAGACUGGAGGAGCCUAGUCCCGUCUCCUCUUCACCAUGCCAUUUCUUGAAAAAGAGGAAAACAGUGAACCUAUGUUGAUGAAAAAUGAAACACGCCUGCAAAUCUUAAAGAACAAGGAGCAGAGAAAGAGACUUGUUCAUGAAAUUUGUACUUUUUUAGAUAGCAGCCAGUCUGUCCAAGAAAUUGAUGCUUUAAGGACAGAAAACAGGAAAUUAAAAAAUGCGAACUCAAGGCUUCGAUAUAAGACAAAGGAUUGGGCAUUAAAGAAAGAAGAAUAUGAAAAUGAGAUUGAGAGGCUGUCUAGUGAGAUAUCAAAUUAUUUAAAUGCCACCAAUUUUUGGUAUCAAGACACAGAGCUUCUUAAUGAUGAGCAUAAUAAUAUACCAAGGGAACAGGCAAACAAUGUAAGACACACAAGUAAAAAACACUUAUCACAGGACGAAUAUGAACAAUAGAAGAGCAGCUAGCUACUAUUUUUAAAGGCCUGGACAACAGAUUGUUUUAUGUUGCUUCAAGUUUGUCUUCUCAUUGAAUUACUCAAUUGUAUGAAUGAAUUAAAGAGACAUGUUAUCUCAGUUCUUUCAAGUUAGUAUAAUUUUGGUUAAAUGUUUAUGGGGAGUAGCUCUUAAGAUACUGAUUAACAGUGUUGUGUAGUGGACUGAAAUCUGACCUUAGAGCCAGGAAGAUUUGGAUUCAAGUCCUGCCUCUGACUCAUGGUCAGUGUUCAAGGAAAUUUUUUUCUUAAAAGGCAUUUGGGGUUAAGUGACUUGCCAAGGUCAUGCAGCUAGUAAGUGUCUGAGGUCGGAUUUGAAUUCAGGUCUUUCUGACACCAGGGCCAGUGCUCUAUUCACUGUGCCACCUAGCUGCCCCUUCUAGGGGAAUGAAGUUGCAGAGAAAGUACCAACUUGCUUUGGUAGAAUGAGUUCCUUUCUUGGAAUUCCAAAAUCAUUGAGAUCACAGGUCUAUCACUAAAUAGUACCCUAAUAUGUAUAAGUUAGCAGGCCCUUCAUCUAGGGUUAACUACAAGUUUGUAUCACUUUGUAGAAAAUCUCUGGAUCAUCUGGUUAGAGCAAUAUGACCUAAAUCUUAAACAACAGUGAAAUUUUAGACAUUUUUUUUACAGUAAGAAAAUAUUCAUAAAUAUGCCUCUAUAAAAAUACAAGAUACUUGAACCAUGUAAGUGAAAAAGGGAUCAAUAUGUUUUAUUAUUUCUUGCUAUUAAAAAAUGAAUGUCAGAGGCCUUGGUACUUAGGUGAUUGAUUUAUUAGCAUUCACAUUUAGGCUCAGCAGAAUGGGUAUGAACUGCAG